rnacentral:ncRNA from 1 species
AACAGGGAGCUCGUAUUCGGGCUGAGAGGAAGUAAUUGAGCUUCGACCUUCAGAACCUGAUUUGGGUAAUGCCAACGUAGGGAUGAUAAUUG